AAACGAAGGUUGACUGGGUUGUAGCUGGCCUUCCGAAGGCAUGUGCACGCCCUGCUCAUCCACUCUACACCUGUGCACUUACUGUGGGCUUCAGACGUCGUGAAGCGGGCUCUUUACUGAGCCUGUAGAGCGGUGUCUGUGCCUGCGUUUAUCACAAACCCCAUAAAGUAUUAGAAUGUGUAUUGCGAUGUAACGCAUCUAUAUACAACUUUCAGCAACGGAUCUCUUGGCUCUCGCAUCGAUGAAGAACGCAGCGAAAUGCGAUAAGUAAUGUGAAUUGCAGAAUUCAGUGAAUCAUCGAAUCUUUGAACGCACCUUGCGCUCCUUGGUAUUCCGAGGAGCAUGCCUGUUUGAGUGUCAUGAAAUCUUCAACUUACAGACCUUUGCGGGUUUGUAGGCUUGGACUUGGAGGCUUGUCGGCCGUGUUUCGGCCGGCUCCUCUUAAAUGCAUUAGCUUGAUUCCUUGCGGAUCGGCUCUCGGUGUGAUAAUGUCUACGCCGCGACCGUGAAGCGUUUUGGCGAGCUUCUAACCGUCCUCGUUUGGACAGCUUUAUGACCUCUGACCUCAAAUCAGGUAGGACUACCCGCUGAACUUAAGCAUAUCAAAGGGGGGAGAAAAAAUAAUUAUUCGAGGUUUUGACUGGGUUGUAGCUGGCCUUCCGAGGCAUGUGCACGCCCUGCUCAUCACUCUACACCUGUGCACUUACUGUGGGCUUCAGACGUCGUGAAGCGGGCUCUUUACUGAGCCUGUAGAGCGGUGUCUGUGCCUGCGUUUUAUCACAACCAUAAAGUAUUAGAAUGUGUAUUGCGAUGUAACGCAUCUAUAUACAACUUUCAGCAGGGCAUCUUUGGGCUCUGCAUGAUGAAGAACGCACGAAUGCGAUAGUAAUGUGAAUUGCAGAGUCAGUGAAUCAUCGAAUCUUGAACGCCUGCCCUCUUGGUAUUCGAGGAGCAUGCUGUUUGAGUGUCAUGAAUCUUCAACUUAGGACUUUGCGGGUUUGUAGCUGGACUUGAGCUUGUCGGCCGUGUUCGGCGACUCUAAUGCAUUAGCUGAUUCUGGCGAUCGCCCUGGUGUGAUAAUGUCUACCUCGCAGGUAAAGCAUUUGGGCGAGCUCUCAACCGCUUUUGGGACCUGAACCUGCUCACACAUACGGUGGAAUACGCUCACUAAGCAUAUAUGC
rnacentral:sRNA from 1 species